GGGGGACUUGACACACUCCGGCAAGUGUUGCAGCCAUUCCCACCAGGCCAUAAGCUUGCGGUGAUGCCACUUCCAAGAUGGAAAGUUGAAGUAUUGGACUAGACUGAGCAACUGCAAAACCAAUCAGUUUCCCAUAUGCCAUUCCUGUUGCUGCACCAAUAAAAAGGGAUGGGGCAUAAUAACCCCCCACUAAUCCAGAAGCCCGGCACAAAGAGGUA
rnacentral:misc_RNA from 1 species